AAGUCGAGGGGCAGCAUUUCAUUUUGCUUGCAAAGUGAAGAUGGCGACCGGCGCACGGGUGAGUAACACGUAUCCAACCUGCCGAUAACUCGGGGAUAGCCUUUCGAAAGAAAGAUUAAUAUCCGAUAGCAUAUCAAUCCCGCAUGAGAUUGAUAUUAAAGAAUUUCGGUUAUCGAUGGGGAUGCGUUCCAUUAGUUUGUUGGCGGGGUAACGGCCCACCAAGACUACGAUGGAUAGGGGUUCUGAGAGGAAGGUCCCCCACAUUGGAACUGAGACACGGUCCAAACUCCUACGGGAGGCAGCAGUGAGGAAUAUUGGUCAAUGGACGUAAGUCUGAACCAGCCAAGUAGCGUGAAGGAUGACUGCCCUAUGGGUUGUAAACUUCUUUUAUAUGGGAAUAAAGUAUUCCACGUGUGGGAUUUUGUAUGUACCAUAUGAAUAAGGAUCGGCUAACUCCGUGCCAGCAGCCGCGGUAAUACGGAGGAUCCGAGCGUUAUCCGGAUUUAUUGGGUUUAAAGGGAGCGUAGGUGGAUUGUUAAGUCGGUUGUGAAAGUUUGCGG
rnacentral:rRNA from 1 species